UACGUAGGGUGCAGGCGUUAAUCGGAAUUACUGGGCGUAAAGCGUGCGCAGGCGGUUUCUUAAGUCAGAUGUGAAAGCCCCGGGCUUAACCUGGGAACUGCGCUUCUAACUGGCAGGCUUGAGUGUGGCAGAGGGGGGGUGGAAUUCCACGUGUAGCAGGUGAAAUGCGUAGAGAUGUGGAGGAACACCGAUGGGCGAAGGGCAGCCCC
rnacentral:rRNA from 1 species